rnacentral:lncRNA from 1 species
UGGUGGUUUCUAGCUAUUGCCAGCUGUUGGCUGCUCUGCUGGGAGAUGGCGCUUCCCUGGGAUUAUCUUCCAGGAGUCGAGAUCCAAUUCUGUGGGUAGGUGUAAGAAGUCGUUCUGGGCUGGAGUGUGGGACCAGGGAACGAAUUCCACGACAGUCGUCCUUCUGGCGAAAUUGUUGCUGCAUUCCGGAGACUUGCUUACCGCUAACUGGGGGGUUUCGUCAUCCGGCUUGACUCCAGGACCCACAUGCUUUGGUUUAUGUAUUUGCUUGACAGAAUGGGCUUCAGGAGCUUUGGUUGAUCGUGACUCCCCGCAGUGACUGUGGGAGGCUUAGGUAUCCUUUGAGGAAGGAGCUGAACAUCGCUCCCCUCCCUACCCCCACCACAACUAGAGCGUGCGCUUGUGAACCGAUUUGUGAUGAUCUGUGAACAGUGGCCCAAACAAAGAGCGACUACAGGGAGAGCACCGCUGUACUUUCCUUUUUUAGAUAUUUAAAUUUCAUUUUAUGUGAGUGUUUGCAUGAGUGUCUGUGUACUACGUCCAUGCUUGGUGCCACAGAGUUCAGAAGAAGGUAUCUGAUUCCCUCUGGAUGCCAAGAACCAAAACCUGGGUCCUCCGCAGGAGCAACACGUGCUCUUAACCAUUGAGUCAUCUCUCCAGCUCCCAAUGCCGUUAUUGCUAAGUACACCAGAGUAUUAGACCUUGCUAUGACCGUCCCAGGUGAUCAGGUUGGGAGUCUCAGAUCUGCCUCAUCUCUAGCACAGAGAUGUCUGCACUGAACCUUGUUGGGACGCGCGUGGUCAUAGCAGUUGUCAUGUGAGUUCUGGGUGGUUGUGGGGAGACAGGGAAGGAGUAACCCCAGCAAAGCUGAAGUCCGGGCAGCUCUUUUCUCCCCAUCAGGUAGUUUCUGGAUAAGCCAUCUUCUGCAGGGCUGCUUCUGUUGCCUGCUUCUGAGAGCGCUGACAGGUCUGCGCACAUACCCCCUUCACUGUCUCAGUGGUGUGUAUGUGUGUGUGUGUGUGUGUGUGUGUGUGUGUGUGUGUGUGUGUGAUGACAGCGGAGGCUUCCCUUCAGUCCACACAUGGGGAAGCAGGGAUGCCCUGUAGACAAAGGAUGGUUAGCAGGACUUGACAAAGCAGCUGACUUUGUGGAAGUCAGGCAAAGCUCUGGAUGGUCCCCGGGGAGAGUGGACCCUGUGGGAGGGACCCUGAGUGUGGAGGACCUUAAGGCCAAGCCGACCUCAAUGUGCUUCAGCUUGCUGUAUAGCUGAGAACGACCUUGAACUCCUGACCUUCCUGCCUCUACCUCCUUAGUACUGGGAUUGUGAUGUGCCACCACCACACCUGGCUUUGUUUCCCCUUUCAUUUCGUUUCCUUCCCUUCCCUUCCCUUUUUAGAAAGUGAACUCAGGAAGUACAAAGAAAUCGAAAUGACUUAGUCUUUCCCUGUCAGCAGCAUAUUGGCACCUAAGGGAAAUCAAUUCAAUAGGGCAGAAAAGUCUAGAACAAAAAGUUCAGCCUUCCUUCUUGUCUUUACCCCAGAGCUAAGUUCUGUUCACGUACGAGUCUUUCCAGAAGGGUUCGUUGAAGACCACAGUGUGCACAAAGCUCAUGGCUGUAACUUGCUUAGGGAUUGGUCCGCCCACAGCCAUCGGCAGUUCGGACUCAGCUCUCAGUGGCUGUUUCAUCUGUGCUGGGGACACACUCCGUUGUGUGCAGAGGCCGUGUGUGAGCUGCCUUGAAGGCUGUAAACAAUUCACUAGAGUCAUUUCCUCCUGAAGUAUUUUGGGCUUUGCCUUGCGUGAGCCUGGCUGGCAGAACUGGAUCACUGGGCUUUGAAGCUUCAGGCCCCAUGCUUCCUGCUUCCUGUUCUGUUGUGCUGUACAGAGCAUCCUCCAAGCGUCAAGUGUCCUCCAUGGGUCUUGCCUCAGCACGUGCGUUUGUCUCAGCUGACAUCACUCUGCCAAUCAGCCCAAGUCUGAGGAAGGGACAAGAAACUGCAGUACACCACCAGAAGUUUUUUUGGUGCAUUCUCUCUAUGGAGUCCUAACAAAUGCAGCUCAACUAUGCAAUGUAAGGCAGACCAAUACAUGUGUGUUGUUAGCAAAGAAUCCUUCAUCGCGUGUCCUUUCAUGUGCUUGCUUUAGCAGAACAUCCUUUCUCCUGUGUCUGCUUCAGCUAAAUGCUCCCUCAUGAGUCUGUCUUAGCCUUUCACCUGUGUCCACUUCAGGAAAACACUCCUUCACGUGUUUGCCCCAGCAAAACACCAUCUGACACAACUGACUUUCCAAAGAACC